UGGACUGGCUGAAAGGCCCGGGUCCACCCAGCGGCGGGGGAAGUCCCC
ncrna:Eggerthella sp. 1_3_56FAA DTF3800-XI RNA